ncrna:unclassified sequences RAGATH-9 RNA
UCAGUCAACCUAAAGAACUAUUUAUAACCAAAUCCCUAAUGGAAGUUUAGCAGUUGCUAGACUGCUAUUCAAGAGUACAACGGACUAUACAACGGUCAACCAUUUAUUGGUCAGUGAUGAAGGAAACGGGUUACCUAUGAAUAAGAGAUACAAAUAAAUAGGAUAGUUCUUUU